CCUACGGGUGGCAGCAGUGAGGAAUAUUGGUCAAUGGACGAGCGCCUGAACCAGCCAAGUAGCGUGAAGGAUGACUGCCCUAUGGGUUGUAAACUUCUUUUAUAAAGGAAUAAAACGAGGCACGUGUGCCUUUUUGCAUGUACUUUAUGAAUAAGGAUCGGCUAACUCCGUGCCAGCAGCCGCGGUAAUAAGGAGGAUUCGAGCGUUAUCCGGAUUUUUUGGGUUUAAAGGGAGCGUAGAUGGGUUGUUAAGUCAGUUGGGAAAGUUUGCGGCUCAAACGUAAAAUUGCAAUUGAUACUGGCAGUCUUGAGUACAGUUGAGGUAGGCGGAAUUCGUGGUGUAGCGGUGAAAUGCUUAGAUAUCACGAAGAACCCCGAUUGCGAAGGCAGCUUACUAAACUGUGACUGACAUUGAUGCACGAAAGUGUGGGUAUCAAACAGGAUUAGAUACCCGUGUAGUC
rnacentral:rRNA from 1 species